AGCUAGUUGGUGGGGUAAUGGCCCACCAAGGCUGUGAUCUGUAGCUGGUCUGAGAGGAUGAUCAGCCACACUGGAACUGAGACACGGUCCAGACUCCCACGGGAGGCAGCAGUGGGGAAUAUUGGACAAUGGGCGCAAGCCUGAUCCAGCUGUGCCGCGUGAGUGAGGAAGGCCUUAGGGUUGUAAAACUCUUUCAGUAGGGAAGAUAGUGACGGUAC
rnacentral:rRNA from 1 species